CGAUAGUGCGCGAACCGCGAAUCCUCAAAAUCCCCAAAUCUCCAUUUCCCAGCUCUAACCCUAGACGCAGACCGGCCGUGCAGGUGCGGCUGCGGUGGGAGAGAGCCUCUGCCGGCGAAGCGAAGCCUCGCGACUCGCGGGCUCCAGGAGGGGAUCCGUUCCGUCUUGGUUGUUUCCUGGUUUGCAGGUCGACGCGGCGGCGAAGGAUUUGGUACCUAGGCUUCCUCAAGAGACUAGAUUGCUUACUAUGGCUUCUGAGGAAACCAAACCAAAGAAGCAAAGAGAUGAGGAAUGCAUUAUAAACGGUCUCCCAGGAGAACUCAUUGAGCGGAUAUUUUUGAAGCUUCCAGUGAGCACUUUGUUGAGGUGCACUGGUGUUUGCGAGCAGUGGCACAAAAUCAUCCGAGAUCCUCAGUUUGUCACCUCUCACCUCCAGGAUGCGCCCCAAUGUGCCUUCCUAUUCUUUCCACAAGAGUCGGUCUCAGGUGAACCCCAUCCUGCUGAUGCUAUCCUGAUUGAUGAAGCCUUGUCGCCAUCGACAUAUGCAGUGCCAGUGAUUGGGCCUGACGAUUUCCUUUGCGGUUCAUGCAAUGGGCUUCUUGUCUUAUACACAAAGUCAUCAACACUCAAGGUAGCUAACUUUGCAACUGGUGAAUGUCUGCAUCUUGAGAAACCUGUAAAGAAUUUGAGGGGUGAUCACUUGUUCUACAACUUUGGAUUUCACCCAUUGACAAAAGAAUACAAGAUUACACACUUCCUUGGUGAUCUUGUUGUGGGCAGCACUCGCUCCCAUAAUAAUAGCAAAUUCAGCGUCAUUCAAGUUUACACACUUGGUGAUGAGAAAUGGAGAGAUAUCAAAACUCCAGAAGCCCUAAGCUUAAACUGUGUAAAAAACUCUGGAGCAGUCAAUAUUGACGGAACAAUGUGUUGGCUAAUUGAAGACAUGGUAGCUAACUGGCAGCAUGCAGUUAUGACCUUUGAUCUCAAUGAAGAAAGUUUUGCACGGAUACAACUGCCAGCAACUGUACAUGAAGAUUGUGCAGGUGGCGGUCCCCGUCGGCACUGGAUCAGAGAGAUAGAUAGGAAGAUAUGUAUAGCAACUGCUCAAGCCUGUCCUUCUCUUCCCAGAAGGCUUGUUGGUACGCUGCAGAUCUGGGAACUUGAGAACAAAACGGAGCAAAGGUGGAGCCUGAAGUACAAUAUUCAGUACUCGCCAGAUUACAUUCCGGGUCCAAAUUUGGUUCAUAGGAAUAAGAUCAUACUGCAACGUCGCGACAGCAACCUAUAUUCCUAUGAGUUGCUCGGGGAGAACUUCAAUACUAAAUUGUGUAAGAUGGCAAAGCUGUUAGAUUUCUUCCCCCACAAUCCUGACAACAUGCAAUCCUAUAUCUGUGUGAAGUCACUUGUACGUUUAGAUGUAUACAAGACUGCCAUUGCGCGUAGGCCAAAACAACGGGAAGGCUGGGAAUUGAAGAAGUGGGAGGCAUGGGAGCACCAGCUCUCUGAUUAUGAAAAACUGUGGACUCGCCUUCAUGAAGAAGAGCACGAGGGAAUUGCACUUGCAGAACACAGUAGCAUAUCAUUCAAUGGUCUACUGCCGCGUAUCUUGGAUGAUGCGAUUCGACAGGAUAUAGGCAUGAAAAUCAAUCAAAUAUGUCCAAGCCUUCCAGAUCAGAAGAUGCAAGGAUUGUUUAAGUGUACCCUCAUCAUUGGUCAUGUUUUGCACGAGACUCCAGCAACCAAGGCCCCUCCGGCGGCUUAAUUGUGUGGCACAGAAGCAAGAUAGGGAAAAUUUAUCUGCUCGUUUGGAGAAUUAUAGUAGCAUUAUGAAGGCAUCGAGGGAGGCUUCAAAGAGUAUCAUGAGUAUGAUACUUAGUGCUGUAGAAAAUCAGAGGGGUGCUUCGGGCUCAAAUGCUGGCAUUUCUUCUCAGAAUCGCAGUGAGGGAGAUGAUGUGAAGGUUUAAUACUUCAGAAUCUAUCAUGAGGGCGAUGACGUUCAGCACUUGUUUCUUUUUGUCACCGAGGGACCGUUUACCUCGUUUACCUGUACAAAACAGUUCUUUCUGAAGUACCGUCUGUGUGCUGCUAUGUUUUUUAUUUUUCGUUUGAAUUUCAGUCCUUGUGAUCUAAUUAACUUAUUGGUCGAUUCGAGACCUUGGAGAAUUUGCGGGACAGCAAGACAUUUGAUCUGAAGGUCAAACCAACUCUUUGCCACUGAAUAAUAUGCAUCGGAGCUUUACGGAAUAGUUGGAAGUGCAAG